UACGUAGGGUGCGAGCGUUGUCCGGAUUUAUUGGGCGUAAAGAGCGUGUAGGCGGUUAGGUAGGUCCGUUGUGAAAACUCGAGGCUCAACCUCGAGACGCCGAUGGAAACCAUCUAACUAGAGUCCGGAAGAGGAGAGUGGAAUUCCUGGUGUAGCGGUGAAAUGCGCAGAUAUCAGGAAGAACACCCGUGGCUAAGGCGGCUCUCUAGUACGGUACUGACGCUGAGACGCGAAAGCGUGGGGAGCGAACAGG
rnacentral:rRNA from 1 species